UAGGGAAUCUUCGGCAAUGGACGAAAGUCUGACCGAGCAACGCCGCGUGAGUGAAGAAGGUUUUCGGAUCGUAAAACUCUGUUGUUAGAGAAGAACAAGGACGUUAGUAACUGAACGUCCCCUGACGGUAUCUAACCAGAAAGCCACGGCUAAUUACGUGCCAGCAGCCGCGGUAAUACGUAGGUGGCAAGCGUUGUCCGGAUUUAUUGGGCGUAAAGCGAGCGCAGGCGGUUUCUUAAGUCUGAUGUGAAAGCCCCCGGCUCAACCGGGGAGGGUCAGUGGAAACUGGGAGACUUGAGUGCAGAAGAGGAGAGUGGAAUUCCAUGUGUAGCGGUGAAAUGCGUAGAUAUAUGGAGGAACACCAGUGGCGAAGGCGGCUCUCUGGUCUGUAACUGACGCUGAGGCUCGAAGGCGUGGGGAGCAAACAGG
rnacentral:rRNA from 1 species